UAACAGACCCUGAAACCAUACGCUUACAAGCGGUUGGAGCAGCUUUAGGCUGUGACAGCGUGCCUUUUGCAUAAUGAGCCUACGAGUUACUGUUACCAGCGAGGAUAAGUAUUUCAGAUACGAAUCCGCAUCGAAAGAGAGUCUGAAAAGGGCGCAAAUAGUUGGUAGUAGUAGACGCGAAACCUGGUGAUCUACCCUUGGGCAGGUUGAAGCGCUGGUAACACAGCGUGGAGGACCGAACUGGUUGUCGUUGAAAAGACUUCGGAUGACCUGAGGGUAGGGGUGAAAGGCCAAUCAAACUGGGAAAUAGCUCGUACUCCCCGAAAUGCAUUUAGGUGCAGCGUUGAAGUGAGUUUAAUAGAGGUAGAGCUACUGAUUGGAUGCGGGGGUUUCAUCGCCUACCAAUUCCUGACAAACUCCGAAUGCUAUUAAAUGCUCAUCAGCAGUGAGGGUAUGGGUGCUAAGGUCCAUAUCCUAAAGGGAAAGAACCCGGACCAUCAGCUAAGGUCCCCAAAUAUAUGCUAAGUUGACCAAACGCGGUCUGACUGCACUGACAGCUAGGAUGUUGGCUUGGAAGCAGCCAUACAUUUAAAGAGUGCGUAACAGCUCACUAGUCGAGCGGUUGGGCAUGGAUAAUAAACGGGCAUAAGCAUAUUACCGAAGCUAUGGGGUAGUACAUAAGUACCUACCGGUAGGGGAGCAUUCUAUAGGCGUGGAAGCUAAAGGCGUGAGCCAUAGUGGAGCUGAUAGAAAAGAAAAUGUAGGCAUAAGUAACGAUAAGGCAGGCGAGAAACCUGCCCGCCGAAAGAUCAAGGUUUCCUCAGCUAUGCUAAUCAGCUGAGGGUUAGUCGGGGACUAACGCGCACCCGAGCAGGGGAAGUGGAUGUACAACAGGUUAAUAUUCCUGUACCAUUAAUCUGAUAAAAGUGACGGAACGAGAUAACUACCGCGUACUGACGGAAUAGUACGUUAAAGGAGCAGUUAUAGCUUUAAUAGUACACUGAAGCUUCGGCCGAGGUGAUAGAGUGGUGACAACGUUUCCAAGAAAAGCGAAGAUUAAUGCCCGUACCGUAAACCGACACAGGUGAUUGGGAUGAGAAUUCUAAGGCGCUCGAGAGAUUCAUGGCUAAGGAACUAGGCAAAAUAGACCUGUAACUUCGGGAGAAAGGUCGCCUAUCUAGCGAUAGGCCGCAGUGAAAAGGUCCAAGCGACUGUUUAUCAAAAACACAGGACUCUGCAAAAUCGAAAGAUGAAGUAUAGGGUCUGACACCUGCCCGGUGCUGGAAGGUUAAGAGGAGAGCUUAGUGGUAACACGAAGGUUUGAAUUGAAGCCCCAGUAAACGGCGGCCGUAACUAUAACGGUCCUAAGGUAGCGAAAUUCCUUGUCGGGUAAGUUCCGACCUGCACGAAUGGUGUAACGAUUUGGACACUGUCUCGGCCAUGAGCUCGGUGAAAUUGUAGUAUCGGUGAAGAUGCCGAUUACCCGCAGUGGGACGAAAAGACCCUGUGCACCUUUACUAUAUCUUCGUAUUGGUCUUGGAUAAGUGAUGCGUAGGAUAGGUGGGAGACUGCGAAGCGGCUAUUCCGGUAGUUGUGGAGUCAUUGUUGAAAUACCACCCUUUGCUUAUCUGAGGUCUAACUUUGCACAAGGCAAAGGACAAUUCGUGGAGGGUAGUUUGACUGGGGUGGUCGCCUCCAAAAGAGUAACGGAGGCUUCUAAAGGU
rnacentral:rRNA from 1 species